rnacentral:rRNA from 1 species
AUUGAACGCUGGCGGCGUGCUUAACACAUGCAAGUCGAUCGGUAACGCGGGGGCAACCCUGGCGACGAGAGGCGGACGGGUGAGGAACGCUUGGGAAUCUGCCCUUCAGCGGGGGACAACCCGGGGAAACCCGGGCUAAUACCGCAUACGCUCCACGGAGGAAAGCCGGGGACCGCAAGGCCUGGCACUGAAGGAUGAGCCCAAGUCGGAUUAGCUAGUUGGCGGGGUAACGGCCCACCAAGGCGACGAUCCGUAGCUGGUCUGAGAGGACGAUCAGCGACACUGGGGCGGAGACACGGCCCAGACUCCUCCGGGAGGCAGCAGUGUGGAAUAUUGGACAAUGGGGGAAACCCUGAUCCAGCGAGGCCGCGUGGGUGAGGAAGGCCUGCGGGUUGUAAAGCCCUUUCGGUAGGGACGAAAGCUCUCGACCUAACACGUCGGGAGGAUGACUUAACCUACAAAAGAAGCACCGGCUAACUCUGUGCCAGCCGCCGCGGUAAUAC